AACGAACGCUGGCGGCAGGCUUAACACAUGCAAGUCGAGCGCCCCGCAAGGGGAGCGGCAGACGGGUGAGUAACGCGUGGGAACGUACCCUUUGCUACGGAAUAGCUCCAGGAAACUGGAAUUAAUACCGUAUGUGCCCUACGGGGGAAAGAUUUAUCGGCAAAGGAUCGGCCCGCGUUGGAUUAGCUAGUUGGUGGGGUAAUGGCCUACCAAGGCGACGAUCCAUAGCUGGUCUGAGAGGAUGAUCAGCCACAUUGGGACUGAGACACGGCCCCAACUCCUACGGGAGGCAGCAGUGGGGAAUAUUGAACAAUGGGCGCAAGCCUGAUCCAGCCAUGCCGCGUGAGUGAUGAAGGCCUUAGGGUUGUAAAGCUCUUUCACCGGAGAAGAUAAUGACGGUAUCCGGAGAAGAAGCCCCGGCUAACUUCGUGCCAGCAGCCGCAGUAACAC
rnacentral:rRNA from 1 species